AAAAAAAUAGACUAGAAAUGACUUUUAAACAGGUUAGAAAUGCAGUUGACUCUUCACACGCACAGACAUGAAGACAGUAACGAGGUGAAGUGCAGGGCAGGUGUUAGUAAUCAUCACUCAGCUCAGCAAAACAGUUCCAAACUCCAACCCUAACCAGCGUCACCUCUGACAAUUGUGUGUUUUUAGCAAGUUUUACUCUAAUAGAUCGUGCCAUGGAUGCUUUUUCCUGAACCUGGAUGUGUGUUUGGUGCUGCUUGAUCUUGGACAUCUUCCCUAACCCGGUGACUGAUAUUCAGGAACAACGUACGGAGUGAGAACAUCUCUUUUCCUUCACAUAGACGUUUUAAUCUGAUCCAGCCUGCUAGUGAUGACCGCGCCCUUCUGAGAUUUAUGUUUGAGAUGCUUCAUCAGAUCCUGAAGAGGUUUCAACAUGCUUUGAACAUUGAACAUCUUAUCAGUUCCUCAUGGCAGCAUCCACAGCGCAGUGAAUCGGAGUGUGUGUGUGAGGGGGGACUGAGCGGUGGAGCUCAGUAAGCAGGUGAUGGGAACAGAGAUGGACACUGACCUUGCGCUGAGAGUUCGGCGUCGCUUCUCCUGCAGCUGCUCUCGAGCUAAAAAGGGGAAUAUGGCUGUGUGUUCUGUAAGAGGAGGCACGAGAGAAAACAGCGACAGUUUACACAUACACACGCACGCACACACACACACACACACGUGUCAUCUCCAUACAAAAAACCUGUUGUGUUUUGCUAAUGAUUUACACUGUUAAAGUGCCCAUGAAAUUACCUGAGGGUCUGAAUAUUCAUUAUCACGUGCUGAUCUUAUACUCAGAUACGUGCAAACAU